rnacentral:sRNA from 1 species
AAUUGAAUCAGAACUAUAAACAACAACACUAUGUUAUAUAAGUUUUGAUACUAUAUUCGAAUAAAGUAUAAUAUACCUUUUCAAUUUGUAUUCUUUAACUAAUUUAAGCUAACUAAUAUAUUUGCUAAUCUUAUACCUAUCAAAACAGACUAUCGUUUCUUAUCAGUAUAGUAUUUUUGCAAGACUUUUUUGGUGGAUUUGGGUAAAAGUGCAUUCGGGUCAUAUGGUACAUUCCCCUAUUAAAUAAAUAUGGUGCACUCUUAUGUUAUUAGCUAAAAUGUUUAGAUUAUAACUCAGAGUCAUAUCAUUAAUAAACUUAAUAUUAAUAAAAUAAAUGGCUUUUUUGCAAGACGGAUUUGGAGGGACGGGUUAUUGAAUCAACAUUAAUAAAAAAGUAAAAUAUAAUUAAUCCACCGUUUCAAUACGGGUUAAAACUUUAAUUUAUUAUUUUUUAAGACCACUAAUAUUAAGCAUAUAAAAUCAUCCUAAUUUAGAAAAGAUUAUAUAAAACCAAAAAUGUUAUGUGGUAUGUAUAAUGUUACUAUAUAUAAAAUUAAACUAUAAAAUAU